UACAUGGGGUGCGAGCGUUAAUCGGAAUUACUGGGCGUAAAGCGUGCGCAGGCGGUUUUGUAAGCCAGAUGUGAAAUCCCCGGGCUCAACCUGGGAAUGGCAUUUGGGACUGCAAGGCUGGAGUACGGCAGAGGAGACUGGAAUUCCUGGUGUAGCAGUGAAAUGCGUAGAUAUCAGGAGGAAUACCGAUGGCGAAGGCAGGUCUCUGGGCUGAUACUGACGCUCAUGCACGAAAGCGUGGGGAGCAAACAGG
rnacentral:rRNA from 1 species